ACCUGGCAGGCUCAGUCAGUAAGAGUGUGUGACUCUUGAUCUCAGGGUCGUAGGUUCGAGCCCCACGUUGGGUG
rnacentral:tRNA from 1 species